rnacentral:rRNA from 1 species
CCUACGGGAGGCAGCAGUGGGGAAUAUUGCACAAUGGGCGAAAGCCUGAUGCAGCGACGCCGCGUGAGGGAUGACGGCCUUCGGGUUGUAAACCUCUUUCAGCAGGGAAGAAGCGAGAGUGACGGUACCUGCAGAAGAAGCGCCGGCUAACUACGUGCCAGCAGCCGCGGUAAUACGUAGGGCGCAAGCGUUGUCCGGAAUUAUUGGGCGUAAAGAGCUCGUAGGCGGCUUGUUGCGUCGGUUGUGAAAGCCCGGGGCUUAACCCCGGGUCUGCAGUCGAUACGGGCAGGCUAGAGUGUGGUAGGGGAGAUCGGAAUUCCUGGUGUAGCGGUGAAAUGCGCAGAUAUCAGGAGGAACACCGGUGGCGAAGGCGGAUCUCUGGGCCAUUACUGACGCUGAGGAGCGAAAGCGUGGGGAGCGAACAGGAUUAGAUACCCUGGUAGUCCACGCCGUAAACGUUGGGAACUAGGUGUUGGCGACAUUCCACGUCGUCGGUGCCGCNGCUACGACAUUAAGUUCCCGUCCGUCGGGUAGGUACGGCCGCGACGGACGUAAACCUACAAUAGAAGUUAGACGGCGUGAGACGUGCCGAACGGACGACGACGAGGGAGGUAGG